rnacentral:rRNA from 1 species
CAAUAGCGUAUAUUAAAGUUGUUGCAGUUAAAAAGCUCGUAGUUGGAUGUCUGGCGUCCACUUUUGUCUGCGUCUUCCGAAAGGAUGUACGUGACGGUGGGGCCAACCUUCUCGAGGACCAUGCGUGCCUUUAACUAGGUGUGUGUGGGACUCGGGACCUUUACUUUGAAAAAAUUAGAGUGUUCAAAGCAGGCCUUCGCUUGAAUACAUUAGCAUGGAAUAAUGGAAUAGGACUUUGGUUUUCUAUUUUGUUGGUUUCUAGGACCGAAGUAAUGAUUAAUAGGGAUAGUUGGGGGCAUUAGUAUUUAAUUGUCAGAGGUGAAAUUCUUAGAUUUGUUAAAGACUAACAUCUGCGAAAGCAUUUGCCAAGGAUGUUUNCAUUAA